rnacentral:rRNA from 1 species
GACGAACGCUGGCGGCGUGCCUAACACAUGCAAGUCGAACGGAGCCUGCCCCUUCGGGGACAGACUUAGUGGCGAACGGGUGAGUAACGCGUGAGGAACCUGCCUUUCAGUGGGGGACAACAGUUGGAAACGACUGCUAAUACCGCAUAAUACUCUUUGGGGGCAUCCCUAAGGAGUCAAAGAUUUAUUGCUGAAAGAUGGUCUCGCGUCUGAUUAGCUAGUAGGCGGGGUAACGGCCCACCUAGGCGACGAUCAGUAGCCGGUCUGAGAGGAUGAACGGCCACAUUGGGACUGAGAUACGGCCCAG